rnacentral:rRNA from 1 species
GACAGAGGGUGCAAACGUUGUUCGGAAUUACUGGGCGUAAAGGGCUCGUAGGCGGCCAACUAAGUCGGAUGUGAAAUCCCCAGGCUCAACUUGGGAACUGCAUCCGAUACUGGAUGGCUUGAAUUCGGGAGAGGGAUGCAGAAUUCCAGGUGUAGCGGUGAAAUGCGUAGAUAUCUGGAGGAAUACCGGUGGCGAAGGCGGCAUCCUGGACCGACAUUGACGCUGAGGAGCGAAAGCUAGGGGAGCAAACGGG